AGAGUUUGAUCCUGGCUCAGGACGAACGCUGGCGGCGUGCUUAACACAUGCAAGUCGAGCGAGGCCCCUCCUUCGGGAGGGUGUCCUAGCGGCGAACGGGUGAGUAACACGUGGGCAACCUGCCCUCAGCUCUGGGAUAACCCCGGGAAACCGGGGCUAAUACCGGAUACGACCUCCACGGGCAUCUGCGGAGGUGGAAAGGUUUUCCGGCUGAGGAUGGGCCCGCGGCCUAUCAGCUAGUUGGUGGGGUGAUGGCCCACCAAGGCGACGACGGGUAGCCGGCCUGAGAGGGCGACCGGCCACACUGGGACUGAGACACGGCCCAGACUCCUACGGGAGGCAGCAGUGGGGAAUAUUGCGCAAUGGGCGAAAGCCUGACGCAGCGACGCCGCGUGAGGGACGAAGGCCUUCGGGUUGUAAACCUCUUUCAGCAGGGACGAAGCGAGAGUGACGGUACCUGCAGAAGAAGCACCGGCCAACUACGUGCCAGCAGCCGCGGUAAUAC
rnacentral:rRNA from 1 species